UACCAGCACCCCGAGUGGUCGGGACGAUUAUUGGGCCUAAAGCAUCCGUAGCCGGUUCUACAAGUCUUCCGUUAAAUCCACCUGCUUAACAGAUGGGCUGCGGAGGAUACUAUAGAGCUAGGAGGCGGGAGAGGCAAGCGGUACUUAGUGGGUAGGGGUAAAAUCCGUUGAUCCAUUGAAGACCACCAGUGGCGAAGGCGGCUUGCCCGAAUGCGCUCGACGGUGAGGGAUGAAAGCUGGGGGAGCAAACCGG
rnacentral:rRNA from 1 species